AAGGCUUUAGCUUAAUUAAAGUGUCUGAGUUGCAUUCAUAAUAUAUGGGUUAAAAUCCCGUAAGCCUUA
rnacentral:tRNA from 1 species